GACGAACGCUGGCGGCGUGCUUAACACAUGCAAGUCGAACGGAAAGGCCCUGCUUUUUUGGGGUGCUCGAGUGGCGAACGGGUGAGUAACACGUGAGUAACCUGCCCUUGACUUUGGGAUAACUUCAGGAAACUGGGGCUAAUACCGGAUAGGAGCUCCUGCUGCAUGGUGGGGGUUGGAAAGUUUCGGCGGUUGGGGAUGGACUCGCGGCUUAUCAGCUUGUUGGUGGGGUAGUGGCUUACCAAGGCUUUGACGGGUAGCCGGCAUGAGAGGGUGACCGGCCACAUUGGGACUGAGAUACGGCCCAGACUCCUACGGGAGGCAGCAGUGGGGAAUAUUGCACAAUGGGCGGAAGCCUGAUGCAGCAACGCCGCGUGCGGGAUGACGGCCUUCGGGUUGUAAACCGCUUUCGCCUGUGACGAAGCGUGAGUGACGGUAAUGGGUAAAGAAGCACCGGCUAACUACGUG
rnacentral:rRNA from 1 species